UGGGGAAUAUUGCACAAUGGGGGAAACCCUGAUGCAGCGACGCCGCGUGAGCGAUGAAGUAUUUCGGUAUGUAAAGCUCUAUCGGCAGGGAAGAAAAUGACGGUACCUGACUAAGAAGCCCCGGCUAACUACGUGCCAGCAGCCGCGGUAAUACGUAGGGGGCAAGCGUUAUCCGGAUUUACUGGGUGUAAAGGGAGCGUAGACGGCUGUGCAAGCCAGAUGUGAAAGCCCGGGGCUCAACCCCGGGACUGCAUUUGGAACUGUGUGGCUGGAGUGUCGGAGAGGCAGGCGGAAUUCCUAGUGUAGCGGUGAAAUGCGUAGAUAUUAGGAGGAACACCAGUGGCGAAGGCGGCCUGCUGGACGAUGACUGACGUUGAGGCUCGAAAGCGUGGGGAGCAAACAGG
rnacentral:rRNA from 1 species